ensembl:scaRNA small Cajal body-specific RNA 6
GGUCAAUGAUGAGCAGUAAAAGGUCUGAUGCUCCCAACUUCCUUUUGUGUCCAGCAGCCCUUGUUCUACUCCCAGCAUGCUCUAGAUGUGUGUUGUUGGCUACAGGGGCUUCUAACAAAUUGGAUAACCCCUUCUCCUAUGUGCCAAAGGCUAUUGGGACAUAGUUGUGGUGGAGAUCCAAGAUUAUUUUAGUUCUGGAGGAAGGGAGCUGUCCAUGAUCUCAAGUUUUCAAGCUGAGACC